GGACCCGCACAAGCGGUGGAGCAUGUGGUUUAAUUCGAUGCAACGCGAAGAACCUUACCUGGUCUUGACAUCCUGCGAACUUUCUAGAAAUAGAUUGGUGCCUUCGGGAACGCAGUGACAGGUGCUGCAUGGCUGUCGUCAGCUCGUGUCGUGAGAUGUUGGGUUAAGUCCCGUAACGAGCGCAACCCCUAUCCUUAUUUGCCAGCACAUUAUGGUGGGAACUAUAAGGAGACUGCCGGUGAUAAACCGGAGGAAGGCGGGGACGACGUCAAGUCAUCAUGGCCCUUACGACCAGGGCUACACACGUGCUACAAUGGGAUGGACAAAGAGUCGCGAAGCCGCGAGGUGUAGCUAAUCUCAUAAACCUUCUCGUAGUCCGGAUUGGAGUCUGCAACUCGACUCCAUGAAGUCGGAAUCGCUAG
rnacentral:rRNA from 1 species